rnacentral:rRNA from 1 species
GUGGGGAAUAUUGCACAAUGGGGGGAACCCUGAUGCAGCGACGCCGCGUGAGCGAAGAAGGUUUUCGAAUCGUAAAGCUCUGUCCUAUGAGAAGAUAAUGACGGUAUCAUAGGAGGAAGCCCCGGCUAAAUACGUGCCAGCAGCCGCGGUAAUACGUAUGGGGCGAGCGUUGUCCGGAAUUAUUGGGCGUAAAGGGUACGUAGGCGGUUUUUUAAGUCAGGUGUGAAAGCGUGAGGCUUAACCUCAUUAAGCACUUGAAACUGGAAGACUUGAGUGAAGGAGAGGAAAGUGGAAUUCCUAGUGUAGCGGUGAAAUGCGUAGAUAUUAGGAGGAAUACCGGUGGCGAAGGCGACUUUCUGGACUUUUACUGACGCUCAGGUACGAAAGCGUGGGGAGCAAACAGGAUUAGAAACCCGGGUAGUCC